AACAUCUAAUCUGACUGCUGCGAGAGGACUGGGCCGCAUGUGAGUGCUUUGGGACGGUGUGGGGCCCACGGCAGCACCCGCUGCUCGUUGAGAAGAGUAAGAACGAUACGUGCUUUCACGUCAGUCUCCAAUAACACCAGAAAAAGUCGCUAGAUUUGUCGCUAGUCGCUUUUUUGAAAAAGUCUCGCUAGAGGGGUCUGAAUACUCGCUAAAUAUAGCGACAAAGUCGCUAAGUUGGCAACACUGCCCACAUUAGCUAAACAUGAAUAUACUAUAACCACAUUUCAUAUGCGUGUAUUACUAGCACAGAUGUAAACAUAAUCAGAUAAGAGAGAUCGGUUCCCAAUUUAGCCUUAACAUUAAGGUCUAACGUUAACUUACACAGCGACAACUGCCUUGUUCAGGGGCAGAACGACAGAUGUUUACCUUGUCAGCCCGGGGAUUUGAUGUCGUUUACCGGCCCAACGCUGUAACCCACAAGGCUACUUGCCUCUCCUGAAACCACCUACUUUGGCCGAGAACCAAUCAACAGAAUCAGGGCAGAACCUUCAGUGGACCAGCAUGGGUUGAAGGGGGGUUCAAUAUGUCUGGUUGUUCCAGAACCUCCUGAGAUGAUCAAAGGACUUCAAUGGAGGAAGGACAGUGAUGUAAUAUUUGGAGACAAAGAGAUCUCUCCUAAAUACAAGGAUAAGGUGGACUAUAACAAUGAUAACCAUUCUCUGUGUAUUAAGAAUCUAAUGGAAACUGACAGUGGAAUUUACAUGGUAAACUACAGGAAACAUUGGAAACAAUCAACUACUACAUAUAGACUGUUAGUGGAGGAUCAUGUUCCCAAACCAGUCAUGGAUGUCACAUCUCUCAACACAAGUGUGGGACUCUGUGAUGUCACAGUGAACUGUUCAGUUAAAGAUGGCUGGAUGUUGUCUGUCUGUGACAGCGGUCAGUGUACACUGUCACAACAGUCUCCGUCACUAACCGGUGGUAACAUGACCAUCUCCGUAUUGACUGGAAGGAUCCAAUGCACCAGCAGCAACCACGUCAGCACACAGACCAUCUCUCAACCCAUGGAGGACUGUAGUGGUAAUGUGAAAGCCUCAGUGUUACCAGUUGGCACCAUUGUGGGCUGUGUUACUGGUAUAUUACUCCUAGUUGCUGUGUUACUUGGUGUUGGAUACAUCAAACAUACCAGAAGACAGAAAAUCCCUAAAGAACAAAGUCCACUAGAAGAGGUCAUUGUUCCAAGAGUUUACAACUCAGUGAAGACCUCACCAGGGAGAGAAGAACCACAGCAUCUCCUUACCAGAACCACAGCCCUGUCCUGACCAGAACCACAGCACUCUCCUGUCCAGAACCACAUCACUCUCCUGUCCAGAACCACAUAUAUAUACAUUUUUAUAUUCCAUUUCAUGGAAGUUUCUUUAUCCAUGAAAUGAAGUGGGUGGAGAACAAACCCCUCUUCACAUUGUUACAGAUAGAAUUGAACCAUUAUUUUGAAAUGAUCAGUAAAAGUGGAAAUACAAAAAAGCAAUAUGUAUCAUAAAAUGUUUUGACAAACUGAAAAUGUAUCUUGACAUGUAGUACCCGUCUGUUAGUUCUUCUCACUGGUGGAUUUGGUGGUAUCCUGUAUAGCUUCCUGCAUUUACUCCCAGCAAGCACAAAACCCUUCAUAGAGUUGGUCCAUACUGACUGUCUCUGUCAUUUUGAGGGAAAACACCUGCUCCAGAUCAGUGAAGGAGAGGUUUUGUUGCAUGUUUAUCCAUAUUUCGUUGAUAUGCCAAACCGAGAGAACAACAACAGAAAUUACUUUGCAGGAAUUGGCGUGUUUACUGUGAUUUGAUGAAUAUACGGGACAAGGGAGGUCCCGUAUGGGACAAACCAAUUUAGCCCAAUAUAAGAGCCAUCCCGGCUAAUACGGGACAGUUGCCAACCCUAUUUGACGUUUUCAAAUUAAACUCUCAUUUAACGUGUGAAAUAGUGUUAUUUGACGCGUGUAUUUUUUUGACCCGCAAAGACUCAAACUGGGUUCCAUUCUGUAAAGCCUCGUUCACUUCAAAUCCAUUUGUUUUGCACAUCCAAUUCAAAACAUAUUUUUUCCUGCAGUCUGAACAGUCAAAUAGCACAUGGAAUAGGAUAUUUUAAGCUGCCUUCCUGGUGGUUUGAAGUCAGAUACAAAUAGGAUUACUGGCCAUGUGACUUGUUGAAUGGUCAAAUCUGAAGUGUACUUUUGUAUAUUAUCUACCUCACUUGCUUUGGCAAUGUUAACAUGUGUUUCCCAUGUCAAUAAAGCCCCUUGAAUUGAGACAAAAAGUGAGUAAAAAACACACAAAAAAUGUUCAGAACUACAAAUGAACUUUCUUCUGUCGAUUUUGGGUUGUAUAAUGUCACAAUUCCAACCCUCCUCCUUGAUCCGGGCUUGGGACCGGCAAAAGUGACCCGAAAGAGACACUGGCGGAGUUAGUUUUUUUUAUUGGAUUAUUUACUUUAUAUUUUUAGUUUAGUUUUAUACAUUUACAUCCCGCACUGAAUGUAAACCAGGGCGGAAAUCAGUUCCGGCGGCUUCGCGCAUGCGCGAUUCAUUUUCAGUCUGGACGCGGAGGGGUGAACAUCUCCUCUGACUGCUGCGAGAGGACUGGGCCGCAUGUGAGUGCUUUGGGACGGUGUGGGGCCCACGGCAGCACCCGCUGCUCGUUGAGAAGAGUAAGAACGAUACGUGCUUUCACGUCAGUCUCCAAUAACACCAGAAAAAGUCGCUAGAUUUGUCGCUAGUCGCUUUUUUGAAAAAGUCUCGCUAGAGGGGUCUGAAUACUCGCUAAAUAUAGCGACAAAGUCGCUAAGUUGGCAACACUGCCCACAUUAGCUAAACAUGAAUAUACUAUAACCACAUUUCAUAUGCGUGUAUUACUAGCACAGAUGUAAACAUAAUCAGAUAAGAGAGAUCGGUUCCCAAUUUAGCCUUAACAUUAAGGUCUAACGUUAACUUACACAGCGACAACUGCCUUGUUCAGGGGCAGAACGACAGAUGUUUACCUUGUCAGCCCGGGGAUUUGAUGUCGUUUACCGGCCCAACGCUGUAACCCACAAGGCUACUUGCCUCUCCUGAAACCACCUACUUUGGCCGAGAACCAAUCAACAGAAUCAGGGCAGAACCUUCAGUGGACCAGCAUGGGUUGAAGGGGGGUUCAAUAUGUCUGGUUGUUCCAGAACCUCCUGAGAUGAUCAAAGGACUUCAAUGGAGGAAGGACAGUGAUGUAAUAUUUGGAGACAAAGAGAUCUCUCCUAAAUACAAGGAUAAGGUGGACUAUAACAAUGAUAACCAUUCUCUGUGUAUUAAGAAUCUAAUGGAAACUGACAGUGGAAUUUACAUGGUAAACUACAGGAAACAUUGGAAACAAUCAACUACUACAUAUAGACUGUUAGUGGAGGAUCAUGUUCCCAAACCAGUCAUGGAUGUCACAUCUCUCAACACAAGUGUGGGACUCUGUGAUGUCACAGUGAACUGUUCAGUUAAAGAUGGCUGGAUGUUGUCUGUCUGUGACAGCGGUCAGUGUACACUGUCACAACAGUCUCCGUCACUAACCGGUGGUAACAUGACCAUCUCCGUAUUGACUGGAAGGAUCCAAUGCACCAGCAGCAACCACGUCAGCACACAGACCAUCUCUCAACCCAUGGAGGACUGUAGUGGUAAUGUGAAAGCCUCAGUGUUACCAGUUGGCACCAUUGUGGGCUGUGUUACUGGUAUAUUACUCCUAGUUGCUGUGUUACUUGGUGUUGGAUACAUCAAACAUACCAGAAGACAGAAAAUCCCUAAAGAACAAAGUCCACUAGAAGAGGUCAUUGUUCCAAGAGUUUACAACUCAGUGAAGACCUCACCAGGGAGAGAAGAACCACAGCAUCUCCUUACCAGAACCACAGCCCUGUCCUGACCAGAACCACAUCACUCUCCUGUCCAGAACCACAUCACUCUCCUGUCCAGAACCACAUAUAUAUACAUUUUUAUAUUCCAUUUCAUGGAAGUUUCUUUAUCCAUGAAAUGAAGUGGGUGGAGAACAAACCCCUCUUCACAUUGUUACAGAUAGAAUUGAACCAUUAUUUUGAAAUGAUCAGUAAAAGUGGAAAUACAAAAAAGCAAUAUGUAUCAUAAAAUGUUUUGACAAACUGAAAAUGUAUCUUGACAUGUAGUACCCGUCUGUUAGUUCUUCUCACUGGUGGAUUUGGUGGUAUCCUGUAUAGCUUCCUGCAUUUACUCCCAGCAAGCACAAAACCCUUCAUAGAGUUGGUCCAUACUGACUGUCUCUGUCAUUUUGAGGGAAAACACCUGCUCCAGAUCAGUGAAGGAGAGGUUUUGUUGCAUGUUUAUCCAUAUUUCGUUGAUAUGCCAAACCGAGAGAACAACAACAGAAAUUACUUUGCAGGAAUUGGCGUGUUUACUGUGAUUUGAUGAAUAUACGGGACAAGGGAGGUCCCGUAUGGGACAAACCAAUUUAGCCCAAUAUAAGAGCCAUCCCGGCUAAUACGGGACAGUUGCCAACCCUAUUUGACGUUUUCAAAUUAAACUCUCAUUUAACGUGUGAAAUAGUGUUAUUUGACGCGUGUAUUUUUUUGACCCGCAAAGACUCAAACUGGGUUCCAUUCUGUAAAGCCUCGUUCACAUCAAAUCCAUUUGUUUUGCACAUCCAAUUCAAAACGUAUUUUUUCCUGCAGUCUGAACAGUCAAAUAGCACAUGGAAUAGGAUAUUUUAAGCUGCCUUCCUGGUGGUUUGAAGUCAGACACAAAUAGGAUUACUGGCCAUGUGACUUGUUGAAUGGUCAAAUCUGAAGUGUACUUUUGUAUAUUAUCUACCUCACUUGCUUUGGCAAUGUUAACAUGUGUUUCCCAUGUCAAUAAAGCCCCUUGAAUUGAGACAAAAAGUGAGUAAAAAACACACAAAAAAUGUUCAGAACUACAAAUGAACUUUCUUCUGUCGAUUUUGGGUUGUAUAAUGUCACAAUUCCAACCCUCCUCCUUGAUCCGGGCUUGGGACCGGCAAAAGUGACCCGAAAGAGACACUGGCGGAGUUAGUUUUUUUUAUUGGAUUAUUUACUUUAUAUUUUUAGUUUAGUUUUAUACAUUUACAUCCCGCACUGAAUGUAAACCAGGGCGGAAAUCAGUUCCGGCGGCUUCGCGCAUGCGCGAUUCAUUUUCAGUCUGGACGCGGAGGGGUGAACAUCUCCUCUGACUGCUGCGAGAGGACUGGGCCGCAUGUGAGUGCUUUGGGACGGUGUGGGGCCCACGGCAGCACCCGCUGCUCGUUGAGAAGACGACAACUGCCUUGUUCAGGGGCAGAACGACAGAUGUUUACCUUGUCAGCCCGGGGAUUUGAUGUCGUUUACCGGCCCAACGCUGUAACCCACAAGGCUACUUGCCUCUCCUGAAACCACCUACUUUGGCCGAGAACCAAUCAACAGAAUCAGGGCAGAACCUUCAGUGGACCAGCAUGGGUUGAAGGGGGGUUCAAUAUGUCUGGUUGUUCCAGAACCUCCUGAGAUGAUCAAAGGACUUCAAUGGAGGAAGGACAGUGAUGUAAUAUUUGGAGACAAAGAGAUCUCUCCUAAAUACAAGGAUAAGGUGGACUAUAACAAUGAUAACCAUUCUCUGUGUAUUAAGAAUCUAAUGGAAACUGACAGUGGAAUUUACAUGGUAAACUACAGGAAACAUUGGAAACAAUCAACUACUACAUAUAGACUGUUAGUGGAGGAUCAUGUUCCCAAACCAGUCAUGGAUGUCACAUCUCUCAACACAAGUGUGGGACUCUGUGAUGUCACAGUGAACUGUUCAGUUAAAGAUGGCUGGAUGUUGUCUGUCUGUGACAGCGGUCAGUGUACACUGUCACAACAGUCUCCGUCACUAACCGGUGGUAACAUGACCAUCUCCGUAUUGACUGGAAGGAUCCAAUGCACCAGCAGCAACCACGUCAGCACACAGACCAUCUCUCAACCCAUGGAGGACUGUAGUGGUAAUGUGAAAGCCUCAGUGUUACCAGUUGGCACCAUUGUGGGCUGUGUUACUGGUAUAUUACUCCUAGUUGCUGUGUUACUUGGUGUUGGAUACAUCAAACAUACCAGAAGACAGAAAAUCCCUAAAGAACAAAGUCCACUAGAAGAGGUCAUUGUUCCAAGAGUUUACAACUCAGUGAAGACCUCACCAGGGAGAGAAGAACCACAGCAUCUCCUUACCAGAACCACAGCCCUGUCCUGACCAGAACCACAGCACUCUCCUGUCCAGAACCACAUCACUCUCCUGUCCAGAACCACAUAUAUAUACAUUUUUAUAUUCCAUUUCAUGGAAGUUUCUUUAUCCAUGAAAUGAAGUGGGUGGAGAACAAACCCCUCUUCACAUUGUUACAGAUAGAAUUGAACCAUUAUUUUGAAAUGAUCAGUAAAAGUGGAAAUACAAAAAAGCAAUAUGUAUCAUAAAAUGUUUUGACAAACUGAAAAUGUAUCUUGACAUGUAGUACCCGUCUGUUAGUUCUUCUCACUGGUGGAUUUGGUGGUAUCCUGUAUAGCUUCCUGCAUUUACUCCCAGCAAGCACAAAACCCUUCAUAGAGUUGGUCCAUACUGACUGUCUCUGUCAUUUUGAGGGAAAACACCUGCUCCAGAUCAGUGAAGGAGAGGUUUUGUUGCAUGUUUAUCCAUAUUUCGUUGAUAUGCCAAACCGAGAGAACAACAGCAGAAAUUACUUUGCAGGAAUUGGCGUGUUUACUGUGAUUUGAUGAAUAUACGGGACAAGGGAGGUCCCGUAUGGGACAAACCAAUUUAGCCCAAUAUAAGAGCCAUCCCGGCUAAUACGGGACAGUUGCCAACCCUAUUUGACGUUUUCAAAUUAAACUCUCAUUUAACGUGUGAAAUAGUGUUAUUUGACGCGUGUAUUUUUUUGACCCGCAAAGACUCAAACUGGGUUCCAUUCUGUAAAGCCUCGUUCACAUCAAAUCCAUUUGUUUUGCACAUCCAAUUCAAAACGUAUUUUUUCCUGCAGUCUGAACAGUCAAAUAGCACAUGGAAUAGGAUAUUUUAAGCUGCCUUCCUGGUGGUUUGAAGUCAGAUACAAAUAGGAUUACUGGCCAUGUGACUUGUUGAAUGGUCAAAUCUGAAGUGUACUUUUGUAUAUUAUCUACCUCACUUGCUUUGGCAAUGUUAACAUGUGUUUCCCAUGUCAAUAAAGCCCCUUGAAUUGAGACAAAAAGUGAGUAAAAAACACACAAAAAAUGUUCAGAACUACAAAUGAACUUUCUUCUGUCGAUUUUGGGUUGUAUAAUGUCACAAUUCCAACCCUCCUCCUUGAUCCGGGCUUGGGACCGGCAAAAGUGACCCGAAAGAGACACUGGCGGAGUUAGUUUUUUUUAUUGGAUUAUUUACUUUAUAUUUUUAGUUUAGUUUUAUACAUUUACAUCCCGCACUGAAUGUAAACCAGGGCGGAAAUCAGUUCCGGCGGCUUCGCGCAUGCGCGAUUCAUUUUCAGUCUGGACGCGGAGGGGUGAACAUCUCCUCUGACUGCUGCGAGAGGACUGGGCCGCAUGUGAGUGCUUUGGGACGGUGUGGGGCCCACGGCAGCACCCGCUGCUCGUUGAGAAGAGGGCAGAACGACAGAUGUUUACCUUGUCAGCCCGGGGAUUUGAUGUCGUUUACCGGCCCAACGCUGUAACCCACAAGGCUACUUGCCUCUCCUGAAACCACCUACUUUGGCCGAGAACCAAUCAACAGAAUCAGGGCAGAACCUUCAGUGGACCAGCAUGGGUUGAAGGGGGGUUCAAUAUGUCUGGUUGUUCCAGAACCUCCUGAGAUGAUCAAAGGACUUCAAUGGAGGAAGGACAGUGAUGUAAUAUUUGGAGACAAAGAGAUCUCUCCUAAAUACAAGGAUAAGGUGGACUAUAACAAUGAUAACCAUUCUCUGUGUAUUAAGAAUCUAAUGGAAACUGACAGUGGAAUUUACAUGGUAAACUACAGGAAACAUUGGAAACAAUCAACUACUACAUAUAGACUGUUAGUGGAGGAUCAUGUUCCCAAACCAGUCAUGGAUGUCACAUCUCUCAACACAAGUGUGGGACUCUGUGAUGUCACAGUGAACUGUUCAGUUAAAGAUGGCUGGAUGUUGUCUGUCUGUGACAGCGGUCAGUGUACACUGUCACAACAGUCUCCGUCACUAACCGGUGGUAACAUGACCAUCUCCGUAUUGACUGGAAGGAUCCAAUGCACCAGCAGCAACCACGUCAGCACACAGACCAUCUCUCAACCCAUGGAGGACUGUAGUGGUAAUGUGAAAGCCUCAGUGUUACCAGUUGGCACCAUUGUGGGCUGUGUUACUGGUAUAUUACUCCUAGUUGCUGUGUUACUUGGUGUUGGAUACAUCAAACAUACCAGAAGACAGAAAAUCCCUAAAGAACAAAGUCCACUAGAAGAGGUCAUUGUUCCAAGAGUUUACAACUCAGUGAAGACCUCACCAGGGAGAGAAGAACCACAGCAUCUCCUUACCAGAACCACAGCCCUGUCCUGACCAGAACCACAGCACUCUCCUGUCCAGAACCACAUCACUCUCCUGUCCAGAACCACAUAUAUAUACAUUUUUAUAUUCCAUUUCAUGGAAGUUUCUUUAUCCAUGAAAUGAAGUGGGUGGAGAACAAACCCCUCUUCACAUUGUUACAGAUAGAAUUGAACCAUUAUUUUGAAAUGAUCAGUAAAAGUGGAAAUACAAAAAAGCAAUAUGUAUCAUAAAAUGUUUUGACAAACUGAAAAUGUAUCUUGACAUGUAGUACCCGUCUGUUAGUUCUUCUCACUGGUGGAUUUGGUGGUAUCCUGUAUAGCUUCCUGCAUUUACUCCCAGCAAGCACAAAACCCUUCAUAGAGUUGGUCCAUACUGACUGUCUCUGUCAUUUUGAGGGAAAACACCUGCUCCAGAUCAGUGAAGGAGAGGUUUUGUUGCAUGUUUAUCCAUAUUUCGUUGAUAUGCCAAACCGAGAGAACAACAACAGAAAUUACUUUGCAGGAAUUGGCGUGUUUACUGUGAUUUGAUGAAUAUACGGGACAAGGGAGGUCCCGUAUGGGACAAACCAAUUUAGCCCAAUAUAAGAGCCAUCCCGGCUAAUACGGGACAGUUGCCAACCCUAUUUGACGUUUUCAAAUUAAACUCUCAUUUAACGUGUGAAAUAGUGUUAUUUGACGCGUGUAUUUUUUUGACCCGCAAAGACUCAAACUGGGUUCCAUUCUGUAAAGCCUCGUUCACUUCAAAUCCAUUUGUUUUGCACAUCCAAUUCAAAACAUAUUUUUUCCUGCAGUCUGAACAGUCAAAUAGCACAUGGAAUAGGAUAUUUUAAGCUGCCUUCCUGGUGGUUUGAAGUCAGAUACAAAUAGGAUUACUGGCCAUGUGACUUGUUGAAUGGUCAAAUCUGAAGUGUACUUUUGUAUAUUAUCUACCUCACUUGCUUUGGCAAUGUUAACAUGUGUUUCCCAUGUCAAUAAAGCCCCUUGAAUUGAGACAAAAAGUGAGUAAAAAACACACAAAAAAUGUUCAGAACUACAAAUGAACUUUCUUCUGUCGAUUUUGGGUUGUAUAAUGUCACAAUUCCAACCCUCCUCCUUGAUCCGGGCUUGGGACCGGCAAAAGUGACCCGAAAGAGACACUGGCGGAGUUAGUUUUUUUUAUUGGAUUAUUUACUUUAUAUUUUUAGUUUAGUUUUAUACAUUUACAUCCCGCACUGAAUGUAAACCAGGGCGGAAAUCAGUUCCGGCGGCUUCGCGCAUGCGCGAUUCAUUUUCAGUCUGGACGCGGAGGGGUGAACAUCUCCUCUGACUGCUGCGAGAGGACUGGGCCGCAUGUGAGUGCUUUGGGACGGUGUGGGGCCCACGGCAGCACCCGCUGCUCGUUGAGAAGAGUAAGAACGAUACGUGCUUUCACGUCAGUCUCCAAUAACACCAGAAAAAGUCGCUAGAUUUGUCGCUAGUCGCUUUUUUGAAAAAGUCUCGCUAGAGGGGUCUGAAUACUCGCUAAAUAUAGCGACAAAGUCGCUAAGUUGGCAACACUGCCCACAUUAGCUAAACAUGAAUAUACUAUAACCACAUUUCAUAUGCGUGUAUUACUAGCACAGAUGUAAACAUAAUCAGAUAAGAGAGAUCGGUUCCCAAUUUAGCCUUAACAUUAAGGUCUAACGUUAACUUACACAGCGACAACUGCCUUGUUCAGGGGCAGAACGACAGAUGUUUACCUUGUCAGCCCGGGGAUUUGAUGUCGUUUACCGGCCCAACGCUGUAACCCACAAGGCUACUUGCCUCUCCUGAAACCACCUACUUUGGCCGAGAACCAAUCAACAGAAUCAGGGCAGAACCUUCAGU